rnacentral:sRNA from 1 species
UUUAAUCUGAGCAGCUUCUAAACCCCAAUUACCUACCUAAGGGACUUUUGCUUUGUUCAAAGAGGGAAGCAGAGGGGAGGUUAACAAUGUCUUUUCUACCUCUUCCCAUAAAUGACCAACAGGCAAGACCAGAGUAUAUGGAGCAUUAACUGGUAUAGAAAACAAUCAACUAAGACAGCUAACUCUUGAGCAGACGCCUGUAAUCCCAGCACCUGGGCAGUGAAAACAGGAACCUAACAGUUCUUGAAGGCCAGUCCGGAAAGAAAAUGCUGCUACCUUCACCGAGUCUUAAUCCACUCUGCUCAGGCAAUUUUGACUAAGCACAUAACGUUCCUGCUUGCCCAUACAUAAAAUGGGUAUAACGAUCUUACUCUAUCACAGGAAUGAGGCCACAUGAAAUAUCAAAAUAGCUUACCAACUGGCCUAUAUAAAAUAGUUCACACAGACUGUUGUUUCUUAUCUCUCCCUUUGCUGUUCUUCAAAGCCUUGGUAUGCCUAAAGAGGUGGUAUCACUACAAUGACGAAAGCUAUGUGGCUCUCUCUGGCCAGAUGCCAACCUCCUUCACUUGCUCACUGAGUUGGAGCCUAAGGGCUCUUCCUCCUGUGACCUUUUGGAGAAGCCCACCCCUUGCAAAAAAAAAGAAAAAAAGAAAGAAAAAGAAAAAGAAAAAGAAAAAAAAGAAAAAAGAGGGUAUCAGAAGAACAUGACAGAGAAGAGCUAAGUUCCUUAUGAUGCAUAUGGCGUUCUUUGGAAGAAAGGCGCAGACGUCAAUCAUCACUAUAGUUAACUAUCGUUUCCACACAUAAUUAUUACUACCACUCCGAACAAAGUUCCAGCUUCCUGAGAACUCCCUUCAGCUGCUUCCCCUGUGCUGUGCUCUGGUGGGAGAAGCAAAGAAGCUUGAAUCACUUCUACUCCUAUUUUCUAACUCUGCCCUCAAAAAACCAACAAGAAGGGAACUAAGUGGAGAAUUUACCCUAGAGAGACCCCAGGCUCUAAGCUGACCAGCCAUGAGGAGCAGGGAGAGAAAAAACUUUCAAUCUUUUCAUGAGGCAUUUGGACAAACAGCAAACUCCCAGCCCUCUCCAGGAGCAGCUGAAGAGGGUGAUUUUCUAUUUUUCUGCAUUUUAAUUGUUGGGAUGUGGCCACACACAGCGGUAAUUGGAACAAUGCAACUACCACCACGCAACUGAUACUCUCAGCCUGGGUUUCCUAAAACAGGCCAGGCUGAGAGGGGCAACAGAACGGAAGCCAUAAGGAAUCAAACCAGGACACAAAAGAAGGCAAACCAGCUCUGCAAGGGGCCUCCUCUUUCUCAAGCAGACAUUUAGAAAAGUGUGAGAAACCCUCUCUGGCGGCCUUCCUUCCCCUUCCAUUUUGUGUAUCGGAGAGGUAGACAGCUCUCAACAUUUCACUAAACAAGUUAAAACUUCUCAGCUGAAUGUUACUGGCACAAGGCUCAACCCUUCACUGAGCAAGCAGGCCGCUCGGCCCUCCCAGUAACCCCACCAGGCCUAACUCUCAGCCCAGGAUCUCCCUCCACCACAACCCCCUAAGAUAACGACUAGACACCCCCCCCCAAUCCUAUUGGAUGGAAGCAACCCCUGACACUUGCGUUUCAGAUAUUUAGGUUGUGUUGAAACCUGGACAACCUAAGAUCCAGUCAGGCCAGGGGAAAAAGAAAGUCACAAAUCCCCUGGGGGCAUUCCCCCAGGUCUCCAGGUCCCACACCUCUGGGAGAAACUGAAGGAAAACAUAAGCGAGGCAGGGAGAUGCAAGAAACGAAAGUGGACGGGCCCAGUUGGAAGCACAUCACGAAGCCCAUAGGGGAAGCCAUGUCGGAUAAAGGAACUGGAAACCACCUUUUUAUUAAGUUUACACCACUAUUACCACCUCCCACCUCAGCCAAAGUUUUAAGUCCUUUUUCAAUAGCCUGAAUGUUGAUGUAAGUAGAGAAGAAAGCCCAU